CAGGACCUGCUACCCCUAAAGCAUCCCGUCAACCAAGCCCUGCUUCUCCCAUCAAGUCCUACGAUACAGGACCUGCUACCCCUAAAGCAUCCCGUCAACCAAGCCCUGCUUCUCCCAUCAAGUCCUAUCAUCCAGGACCUGCUACCCCUAAAGCAUCCGGUCAACCAAGCCCUGCUUCUUCCAUCAAGUCCUACUAUACAGGACCUGCUACCCCUAAAGCAUCCCGUCAACCAAGCCCUGCUUCUCCCAUCAAGUCCUACGAUACAGGACCUGCUACCCCUAAAGCAUCCCGUCAACCAAGCCCUGCUUCUUCCAUCAAGUCCUACCAUUCAGGGCCUGCUACCCCUAAAGCAUCCCGUCAACCAAGCCCUGCUUCUCCCAUCAAGUCCUAUCAUCCAGGACCUGCUACCCCUAAAGCAUCCCGUCAACCAAGCCCUGCUUCUCCCAUCAAGUCCUACUAUACAGGACCUGCUACCCCUAAAGCAUCCCGUCAACCAAGCCCUGCUUCUUCCAUCAAGUCCUACCAUUCAGGGCCUGCUACCCCUAAAGCAUCCCGUCAACCAAGCCCUGCUGUUCCCAUCAAGUCCUGUAAAACCAGCCGUGCCUCUACUGAGUCAUACUGGCAGCCCAAUCCUGCCUCUCCCGGUGAGUCCUUCCAGCACAGCCCUGGGACUCCAAAUGCUGCCUUCACUGCUGCCCCAGCCCCUGUCAGCAGUAGGAGGUGGGGCUGGAAAACUGUCAAGAGAACCAUGAGAGACUGCCUGCAGGCCCUGUGCUGCUGCCCCCUAUCGACGUGCAAGUGUCACAAACACAAGGUGGUCGCAGUGUAAGUACUGCACAGUAGAGAACCAGAGGUCACUCAAGGAGUCUGAGUGGUCCGGCUGCUUCCUCAGAAUGUGCUGUGUCUCGAUAUCAUUUUCAACUGUCAGGGAAGAACUGUAGGGAGGAGAGGAGGGGAGGGAGAAGGGUAGGUGUGGGCAGAGGCCAGGUGUGGGUAGGAGGAGUUGCAGUGGGGUCUGCUGCAGAGGAGGCUGGAGUGACCACAGCCACCACUGUAUGCUGUGUUUCCCAGUGAGCGUGCAUUACACAUGUCUCCUUGCCUUUGUAGUGCAGAUCCAUGAUCCCUCCUAUGGAUGUGGUCAUCCUGACAGCGAGGUCAGCCACACAAGUGGAAGCCACAGUGAGUUGCCUUGCAGCCCUUUGUGCAGGGAGCUGGAGGGGAGAGGAGGAGUCAAGAUCACUAGUGUAUCCUGUGGGCGAGAAGCAGAGGGAGGGGUUGGUGCACAGCAUGGGAAGGCUGCACAGGCACCAGGAACUGAGAGCCAGCGAGAGGAAGACAGGAGGAGCAGGGGGGAGAGUCACCUGGCUUGUGUCCUGCUGUCUGAGGGAGGCUGCCCCAGGGACAGGGAGGGCUGGGCACCAUGGACCUGACCACAACCUCCCAUGAGGAUGCAGGGAGACCUGGGUACCAUGGACCUGACCACACCUGACCACUACCUCCCUUAUUGUGCCUGGCAGUAGGGUGUGUUCUGGGAAGAGCAAGGGGUCAUCUACCAUCACCCCCACACAUCCCCAUGAAGAGACAUGGACCCAAACCCUGGUCUUCUGAAUGCUGUCCCCAAGUCUGUGUCUGCAAGCCUUUGAAAGGAGCCCAUUGAAGUCUUGUGUCAGUAAACAGAGACUCAUAUCCAGCCUUGAGGGCACACAGGCAUGCGUGUGGUGGGGACAGAGUUUGGAACAAGAGAAAUCUCCACACGUGAUGGUGUUGCUUGCCACCGUGGGAACAGUGACAUUUGGUAAAGAGAAGACAUUCGUGGCUUCCAAACUGUGGUCUGUGUUUGCAGCACCUGGGGCAGGAUCUGAACCAGAGAGUGUUCAGGGCAAGUUGGAACAUGCACAUAACACAUGUCAUGGUGCAUCUUGCUUCUGCAUUUUCUCAUUUUCUAUCUUUGUACUUGUUUUCUGCCUUGAGGCUUGUAAAUUGCUUAUGGUCAGUAGUUUAUUACUAGUAUUGGGACCUCUUAAGGAAAUGACUAUUUUCAGAGAUGUUCUGUAGGGGUAGCUGGCUUUGGAUUCUGUCAUCCCAAGAUUUUGCCUCUUCUUUUCUUAAAGGAACUUUUUUUUUUUUUUCAAAACGAGAAACUAUGGAAUUUCUUUUUUGGUACUGGGAGUCAAACUCAGGGUCUUGUGUUUGCCAGGCAGGAGCUGUGCCACUGAGCUCCAUCCCCAGCCCUGCCUCUUCAGUUCGGUAGGAAUGAAGGGCUGCUGCCUGUUUGGCCCAGCACCCAGUUCUUAUAGUUCUGUAGUCCAGAACUACAGGAUUGUUUGUGCCCCUCAGACAACUGAGGUGGUGGUGUUCAAAGAAGAUCAGUUGAUGCCAAUAACUCUGUCACUUUGGCUAACAUAGUACAAUCAGCUAUAACAACUGCAACCAACACAGCCAGGAAAUGAUAAACUCUUAUGACCAAGGACAUGCCUGCUUUAAUCACAGGUAUGAGAUUUGUAGUUACACAGCCAACUAUAAGGCAAAGCAGAAUAUUAUAUACAGUAAGUAUAUACUCAGUAGAGCAAUUUGCCCUAAAGGGAGAAAAUUUAUUAGGGAUACCAAGAAAAUAUAGAAAAAUAAAAGAGAGAUAAGAAGACUGAAGUACAAAGGGAGAUUACCAGGCCUUAGAAAACGAGUGAUAAAACAGGAGCAAAAAGCAGGACCAAAAAAGAGAGAAAAAUACAAAAGCUGAGAACAAUGUACACAGGCAGGAAAAACAAAACACAAAGACAAAAAGUUCUCUGACUUUAAACCUGUGGCAGGCCUCUGCGGUCUGUGGUCUUAUUGCAGUGUCCAGUGCAGAGAAGACAGUGGAGGCACUCCAAGCCCAGCUGCGUGCUGUCAGAUCCCAGCAAGCCUGCAGUAGUGUUUCGGGCCCCUGAGUUAGCUAGAAAUACUAUAGGCAGGGAGACAGGGCUAGGUCCUGAAGGAGCCAGUGCAGGAGCUCAGAUACCUUGCAGCUAAGGGGAGACAGGCACCUCCUGCUGUGGGCCAAACCUCAAGACAAAAGAUCAAACAAAUACAUCCAUAAGGACUGAUGUUCUAAAUAGCUUCUUAGCACCCCGCGGAAGUCAGGAGUCACCAUUCCAACCCCCUAGGGAAGAUUCACUGCUCUCUAAGAAUGCCUGCUUUCUAAGUGGCUCACUUCCCCAUUUGUCCCCAAUUUAAUGAAUUUACCUGAACUAUUAAUCUUAUUGGUUAACCAUAGUUCUGCCCUACCUUAUGCCCAUCUGCCUUGUGAGUUCCCAGUUUUGCCCACAAGUCCAUCUCAUCCCAUGAUUUUCCUCUAUAAACGUCCCUGGGAAAGACAGAGUCCCACUGCUUGGGACUCCUCCUGUCUCUCUCAGACAGAAGCUUGCUUUCUCUCAAUAAAUAUAUUUUACUCUUUACCUCUAUUGUUCCUAAAAUUUACUCUUUGAUUUUAGAGAACACGAAUUCACCUUCAGCCGGUUGUACCCCUUCCCAGCCAUAAUGUGCCCUUUCUGUGGCUUUGGGGAGCAGUUGAGGAGGAUGACAAGGGACAGAUUCAAGCUGAAGCCAUGGAUGCUGCCUUACUUGCUCCAAGGGUUCUCCAGGUGAUCACCUGAUUGCUCCACUCCUGAUUGGUCAGCUUUUUAAUACUGAGACACCUGAUGAGCUUAUUCAUUUAUUUAUUCAUGGACCACUGUUUCUUGCUUGUACCUCUGGCUGACUAAACUAGGAACAGAUUCAGUCUUGCAAGAUUGUUGCAAAAAACAGAAAAAAAAAUUCGUCUUCUACUUGAAAAAGCCCAUCUAAAUUUAAAAAAAAUAACUAUUCUUCCGGGAGAACAUGGCGGACAGAUAACAGCAACUACCAGAGGCUCUCUGAAAAACUAGGCUCAGAAGCCAGGUAUGGUGCGGACUAAAGAGACAUAAGCAGGUGGAGUUAUGCUCUGCUGACUCAGGAACGAAGUCCGCUGAGAGAAACCAACUUGGAAUGCAGUCCUGGUGCUAAAACAGGAACAGAAAAGCCUCUGCUGGACCCCGCGCCAUUGGAAGCCGCGAGUUGGGUUUCCCACCGCGCGGUGGCUGGCUGCCUCUACAUCGGCUCAGCAAGGAGAGAGACACACGGAAACUCUGAGAACGGGAGUUUGCGAAUGGAGUCGAAAACAGGAUGGGCAGGGAGGCAUGUUCUGACUUGUGGCGAGGUCAGUGAGAGAAACUGACACUCCACCACAGUUUGAGUCCAGCGGAUUUUCUGGGCCCGAGCAGUCCUGCGGGAGCAGGGCGCGGUGGCGACUCCAGCCACACAUUCCCCUCUCGGGCGGGAUUGGUGAAAAGUGCCUGGCCUGCGCGAAGCUGCCGGCGGACCCCAUAGGCUGGCCCGACCCAGAUCCCAGAGCCCCACGGAGGCCGGGAGGGGCGGGCCCCGCGUAGGCUGCCUGGUGCGCAGAGGUGAGUGGGAACACCUAACUGGCGCAAUUCAAUCAGGCUGUGGCUGACAGGGAGAGAAGCUGGGCCUCUCAUAUAAGCUUGCAUAUAUAAGGAACAGGGAAUAUGGGAAGAGGCAGCAACAAGAAAGGCUCCUCGGCCCCCAACUCUGAGAAACAGGCAAUAGCGGACACCGCACCAAUAGACAUAAAGCGCCAUAUAGAGAGCCUCAUAGACCAAUUCAGGAAUGAAGUUAUCAAUGACCUGAAGCUAGAAGUAUGCAAAAUUGUUAGAGAAAUGCUAAGUACCACCCAAGAAAAAACAGAUGGUGGAAUGGAAGAAGAGAAAAAGAGGGGAGAAUUGUUUGAUGGAGAUAACAGGGAAAGUAAAGAAUACGUGAAGCAGGUUCAAAGGGACUACCAAGAAACUAAGAAGUCUAUCGAAGACUGGCAUAACAGCUUGAAAGAAACUAAGGACAGACUAUCUGAACUGGAGGGCAGAAUUGUAAUAUGGGAGAAUGAAAUGAAAAACUUCUUGAAAAUAAUAAAGAAACAAACAGCAAUAAUACAAAGACAAGAAGAUGAUAAGAGGAUCCAUAACUUAAGGAUUAAGAACACAAAAGAAGAAGUAGGGACACAAACAAAUGAACUACAAAAGCUACUCACAGAAAUAAUCCAGGAGAAUUUUCCUAAUUUAGCAAAAGGUAAAGAUACUCAGAUGUAUGAGGCAUACAGGACCCCAGCUACCUACAACCCAAACAGAGCAACACCCAGGCAUAUAAUAAUAAAAAUUCCAGAAAUUCAAUACAAGAACAGAAUAUGAAAAGCUGUCAGAGACAAGAAACAGACCACUUACAAGGGAGCACCCAUCAGAAUUACAGCAGAUUUCUCUGCACAAACCAUCAAAUCACGAAGAGCGUGGGGGGAAAUAAUUCAAGCUUUGAAAGAUAAUAAUCUCCAGCAAAGAUUGAGAUAUCCUGCACAACUGUCCCUGGAAAUUGAUGGAAAAACAAGGUGCUUCCAGGAUAAAGAGGAACUGGGGGAAUUUGCAACCACCAAUUCAACUCUAGAGAGAGUAUUACAGGAUAUUCUAAAAAAAGAAAAAUACAAAGAAUCCAGAAAUAGUGGAGGCCACAACGAAUGGAGCAGAGAACAAAGUGAAGAAGACAAACUGACAGCUACUGACAGAAUAAGAGCUCAACAGAAAUGAGGCAGAGAAGAUUGGAUGAUAGGAACAGCUAUUUUGGAGAAAAUGACAUCUUAGUAGGUAAUACUGAUUUAGUAUCAUCUUGUUUUGAAGUCUCAUCUAGCUUUUGUCCUUCUGUCUCCAUUGGUCUAAACAGGUUGUAUCUUAUUGGAUUUUAUUAUGUACGAUAGUAUAAGCAAAAACCUUUUAAAGACAAGGAGAUUAUACAGAAACCAUUGUUCAUUUUCUGUUAGUCGAUUCUAAAUACUCUGUAAUGCUGUCAUUCUCUUAAAUGGUUUUACAUUGUUUUGAUAUACUUAAUGCUACAGUAUACGAAGUUGUACUCAAGGAUUUCAAGGAAAGAGAUAAUAUGGUAACUACUUUUAGGUCAGGAUUAUCUAGUGGUGAAACAGUAUUCUGCUUAAAUGGUUAUCUUUUGAUCUGCGCUGUUUUGUUGUUAUGCCCUCUUUUAUCUCAAUCUCCACUCCAUUAUUUACUUUUUUAUUUUUAUCCUUUUAAUUAAAGGAAAAAAUAGCAGGAUAUAUUAUAGUAACCCACUUUGACUUUCCAUUACCUCGAUUUAAAGCCCUGUAUUACUCUCACCAUCUGGUUUUUAACUGAUGUUCCCCUAUUCUGUUUUGCUGGAUAGUAUCAGGUUCGAAAAUUUAGGCAUCAGCUGUGAAGAUAAUGAGACUCAUUAUAAUGCCCAUUCUCAUUGACUUUUAUCUACUUUUGAAGACCUACAAUGUCUCCAAUGUUUUGGUUUUGUCGGUUUUAUUCUUUACUGUUUUGUUCAAUUGUAUUAUAACUAACGAUAUAGGCAAUUCUAUUAGAGAUAGCGGGAGGCAUUAUGGUAACCAUUGUUGAUCACCUUGUAUUAUGUUUUCACAUUAUCUAUUAUGUCCACCCUUUUGACUUGACCGAUUGCAUUCUGUUAUGUCCCAUUUGGUUUUACUCUCUUCCAAAAAAGUAAUAAGAACCGUGGGAGCAAUGAAACCCAAAUUGUACAAAAGAGAGGAAAAGAAAGUGCUCUAAACUAUAUAACUGCAUGUAUAUUUAAGUGUAUAAGAUAGAAAA